rnacentral:tRNA from 1 species
GCCUGGUUGGCUGAGUUGGUUAAGCAUCUGCCUUUGGCUCAGGUCAUGAUCUCACAGUUUGUGGGUUUGAGCCCCGCGUCGGGCU